GCAGUGGAGGGAGGGAUAUUGAGUAGUAUAAAUAUGAGAAGCCUUCACAACAAAAAAUUGCAUUCUCCAAAAGCUACAGGUAUACUGGUAAUUAUACAGUACGUAUAGAGUUGUCAUUAAUUCUAAAAUUAAUGGCAAUCAAGAAUCGUAAUGUUACUGUAGAUGGCGAACGUGCAAUGACCAUGGGGCAGUUCAGGGCUUGGAUGAAAACAAUCGAUGGUGAUAAAGAUGGCAAGAUAAGCAAGGAUGAACUCUCCGACGCCGUCCGUGGCAACGGAGGAUGGUUUGCUGGUUGGAAGGCCAAGAGGGGGGUAGGGUCAGCUGACUCCAAUGGCAAUGGCUUCGUCGAUGAGACUGAAAUCGGUAACCUAGUGGAGUUUGCUCAAAAGCACCUGGGUAUCAAAAUCAUUUAACCAUUUAAAAUUGCAUAUGCCUUUGUAUUAUUAUUAUUAUCGUGCCUGGCUGGUGUGUAAUAAGAAGAAAAAAUGAAUAUUAUUAUUAUCGUGCCUGCCUGCUGGUGUGUAAUAAGAAGAAAAAAUGAAGAAUUUAUAUCAUUACAAUCUGUUUUCAAACAAGUGAUAUCUUUGUGUAGUGCGCAAUGGACACUUCCUAGUCCAAGACUUGUUGUAUGUGUAAUUUGUGUAUCAAAAUAUUAAGUUUAAGAAAAAAUAUAAAUGUGUUGAACGAGUUUUACCGUAUAAUUUAUUAUUUAAUUGUUGGAUCAGUCUGAAAUUUAAUCUGUAUAUUCUGAAUGUCUAGUUUUAUAAAAUAUCAACUAACUAUUAGUAGCUCAAAUUAGAUUUAAAAGUUACUAUUUAAGAUUUUUUAUUAUUUUUCUAGUUAUAUUUGUAUUAUAGAUUUUAGAAUUUUAAUUGGUUAGAUAAGUUUAAAAUCUAUUUAAAUAUUAUAUAAUUUAUUUGCAAUCUUAAAACAACUUGAAAAUCUUAAUUCUAUCUUUUACCAUGAGUUCUUAUCACCUUAUAACUUUCUUAUUGUUUCCUUUCUGUACUGCUCCAGCUCUUCAACUAAAAGGUUUUUUUUGGGGUUAUCUAGAAAUUAUUUUUUAAAAUAUUUUUUAUUUAAAAAUAUAUUAAAAUAAUAUUUUUUUUUUAUUUUUAAAAAUUACUUUAUAUAUUAAUACUUCAAAAUAAUAUAAAAAUACCAAAAAUAUAUUAGUUUGAAAAAAAAAAUAAUUUUUUUUAAAAAUAUUUUUAAAACACAAAAAUAAAUAAACUCUUAUCUCCAGCUACCGCUGGUUAAAUCUACAACUAUAAUCAGUGGCAAGCCCUUACUUCGUGUCUCUUACUCCGUUACUAAUUUUUUCUUAGAUCUAUAUAUGUUCUAUCUUUUGGAUUUACUGUUUUUUUUUUUAAGUGGAGUUUCGCUGGCUUGUCAAAUGGAAGAACCGAACCUUUUUCUAGGAAUGAUAUAUUUUCUUCGACUCUUUUCGAGUCUUUACUUGAGGUGUGCUUCACCACAGCCACUAGAUUGCAUAGUCGAUUCUCAGCUUAAUUCGUAGUGCUUCUACCUUUCGAAUAGGUAGUUUUCACAUCCACGCUAUAGAUUCUGUGUGUUUUUAGGUAGUUUUUACAGUUAUGAUUUUUUUAAAAAUAAUUUUUUAAAAAAUAAGUUGUAAAAAUAAAUAUGACUAAUUGAAUUUAGAUGAGUUGAAGAUUUAUAUAUAGCAACAAACAUGUAUAAAAUAUUUGAUAAAAUAUUUGAUAAUUUAUUCUAUCUAUGUAUGUGCACAAUAUUUGUACUGUUCCCAUCAAUUUCUGUAAUCAUCUUCACAUGGAUUUUUGUUAAGACAGAUUUCACAACUAAAAGUAUAUGAUCAAAUCUAAAAUCAAAAUUAAAAAAAAGGCUGACCUGUUUUUGGUGUCCGGAGAUGGCAAGCGGCAGCAAAAGAGUAGAGGAAGUUGAUUAGGAUCAUUAAUCAUCGCUCAAACAAAGUUAAAUAAAACAGAAAUCACCUAAAAGACUGACCCGAUACGCUGUUUCCACACGGCUUCGGUGGUUCUCUGCAUCGAGUCCAGGGGCGAAGCAGAAGUAGUUUGCGGGGUCAAGAGUAGGAAAUUUUUUGUAGGAGAAUCAAAACUUAAAUUUAUUCAAAGGAAACUAACAAGAUGUACUGUGCUUUUGACAAACUAAAUCAUGGCUAAAACUAGUUUUGGCUCUAAAAUUUUAAAUUAUUCAAAGGAAACCCUACCUGCUAGGCUUCUGGGUGUGUGAGUUAAAAUAACUAACAAGAUGUACUGUGCUUAAGGAAGGGGGUUUUCUCUUAGGGCUAGGGCUAAUAUAUAUAGAAAGGAGGAUUGAUAAAAUUUUGGCUCCAUAUGCUAAAUAUUCAUUCUCCUUCUUAUAUCUUCAUGUGGGUCAGGAAUUCAAUGAGAAAUUAAGAAGGUGACUGUAGGCCUGUUCGUGUAAUUAAGUAAUAAC
rnacentral:lncRNA from 1 species